rnacentral:rRNA from 1 species
UACGUAGGGUGCAGGCGUUAAUCGGAAUUACUGGGCGUAAAGCGUGCGCAGGCGGUUUGCUAAGACAGGUGUGAAAUCCCCGGGCUUAAGCUGGGAACUGCGCUUGUUACUGGCAAGCUGGAGUGUGGCAGAGGGGGGUGGAAUUCCACGUGUAGCAGUGAAAUGCGUAGAGAUGUGGAGGAACACCGAUGGCGAAGGCAGCCCCCUGGGCUAACACUGACGCUCAUGCACGAAAGCGUGGGGAGCAAACAGG